rnacentral:rRNA from 1 species
GAUGAACGCUGGCGGCGUGCUUAACACAUGCAAGUCGAACGACGAAGCCCAGCUUGCUGGGUGGGGUAGUUGCGAACGGGGGAGUAACACAUGAGUAACCUGCCCUCUACUCUGGGAUAAGCGCUGGAGACGGCGUCUGAUACCGGGUACGAGCUUCCACCACAUGGUGAGUUGCUGGAAAGAAUUUCGGUAAAGUAUGGACUCGCGGCCUAUCAGGUAGUUUGUGAGGUACCGGCUCACCAAGCCGACGACGGGUAGCCGGCCUGAGCGGGUGACCGGCCACACUGGGACUGAGACACGGCCCAGCCUCCUACGGGAGGCAGCAGUGGGGAAUAUUGCCCAAUGGGCGCAAGCCUGAUGCAGCAACGCCGCGGGAGGGACGAAGGCCUUCGGGUCGUAAACCUCUUUUAGCAGGGAAGAAGCGAAAGUGACGGUACCUGCAGAAAAAGCACCGGCUAACUACGUG